GAUGAACGCUGGCGGCGUGCCUAAUACAUGCAAGUCGAGCGAACGGACGAGAAGCUUGCUUCUCUGAUGUUAGCGGCGGACGGGUGAGUAACACGUGGAUAACCUACCUAUAAGACUGGGAUAACUUCGGGAAACCGGAGCUAAUACCGGAUAAUAUUUUGAACCGCGUGGUUCAAAAGUGAAAGACGGUCUUGCUGUCACUUAUAGAUGGAUCCGCGCUGCAUUAGCUAGUUGGUAAGGUAACGGCUUACCAAGGCAACGAUGCAUAGCCGACCUGAGAGGGUGAGCGGCCACACUGGAACUGAGACACGGUCCAGACUCCUACGGGAGGCAGCAGUAGGGAAUCUUCCGCAAUGGGCGAAAGCCUGACGGAGCAACGCCGCGUGAGUGAUGAAGGUCUUCGGAUCGUAAAACUCUGUUAUUAGGGAAGAACAUAUGUGUAAGUAACUGUGCACAUCUUGACGGUACCUAAUCAGAAAGCCACGGCUAACUACGUG
rnacentral:rRNA from 1 species